rnacentral:misc_RNA from 1 species
UACAGAGGUCCCAAGCGUUGUUCGGAUUCACUGGGCGUAAAGGGUGCGUAGGCGGCAUGGAAAGUUUGGUGUGAAAGCUCCGGGCUCAACCCGGAAAUUGCACUGAAAACUAUCAUGCUAGAGGAUUGGAAGGGAGACUGGAAUUCUUGGUGUAGCAGUGAAAUGCGUAGAUAUCAAGAGGAACACCAGUGGCGAAGGCGAGUCUCUGGACAAAUCCUGACGCUGAGGCACGAAGGCUAGGGGAGCAAGCAGG